UACCACCUCGAUUGCAGACCUUCGAUUUGGUUCAGGGAGGGUCCCCAACAAUGUCCUCAUGG
rnacentral:miRNA from 1 species